UACGAAGGGUGCAAACGUUGCUCGGAAUUAUUGGGCGUAAAGCGCACGUAGGCGGCCUUGUAAGUCGGAUGUGAAAUCCCCUCGGCUUAAACCGAGGACGUGCGUCCGAAACUGUGAGGCUCGAGUAUGGAAGAGGGUCGCAGAAUUCCCGGUGUAGAGGUGAAAUUUCGUAGAUAUCGGGAGGAUACCAGUGGCGAAGGCGGCCAUCGUGGAUCAACACUGACGCUGAGGCACGAAAGCGUGGGGAGCAAACAGG
rnacentral:rRNA from 1 species